rnacentral:rRNA from 1 species
AGGUGGCUGCGACUGUUUAUUAAAAACACAGCACUCUGCAAACUCGAAAGAGGAAGUAUAGGGUGUGACGCCUGCCCGGUGCCGGAAGGUUAAUUGAUGGGGUUAGUCCUCGGACGAAGCUCUUGAUCGAAGCCCCGGUGAACGGCGGCCGUAACUAUAACGGUCCUAAGGUAGCGAAAUUCCUUGUCGGGUAAGUUCCGACCUGCACGAAUGGCGUAACGAUGGCCACACUGUCUCCACCCGGGACUCAGUGAAAUCGAAAUUGCUGUGAAGAUGCAGUGUACCCGCACCAAGACGGAAAGACCCCGUGCACCUUUACUAUAGCUUCACACUGGACUUUGAACAUGCUUGUGUAGGAUAGGUGGGAGACUUUGAAGCCGGAACGCUAGUUUCGGUGGAGUCAACCUUGAAAUACCACCCUGGUAUGUUUGGUGCCCUAACCGAGACCCGUUAUCCGGGUCCGGGACCGUGUGUGGUGGGUAGUUUGACUGGGGCGGUCUCCUCCCAAAGAGUAACGGAGGAGCGCGAAGGUAUCCUAAGCGCGGUCGGAAAUCGCGCGGUUAGUGCAAAGGCAUAAGGAUGCUUGACUGCGAGACUGACACGUCGAGCAGGUGGGAAACCAGGUCUUAGUGAUCCGGUGGUUCUGUAUGGAAGGGCCAUCGCUCAACGGAUAAAAGGUACGCCGGGGAUAACAGGCUGAUACCCCCCAAGAGUUCACAUCGACGGGGGUGUUUGGCACCUCGAUGUCGGCUCAUCACAUCCUGGGGCUGUAGCCGGUCCCAAGGGUAUGGCUGUUCGCCAUUUAAAGUGGUACGCGAGCUGGGUUUAGAACGUCGUGAGACAGUUUGGUCCCUAUCUGGUGUGGGCGUUAGAGACUUGAGAGGAGCUGCUCCUAGUACGAGAGGACCGGAGUGGACGUACCUCUGGUGUUCCAGUUGUCACGCCAGUGGCAUUGCUGGGUAGCUAUGUACGGACGGGAUAACCGCUGAAAGCAUCUAAGCGGGAAGCCCCCCUCAAGAU